GUAAUACAAGUGACAUUACGCGCGCGUUGCCGACUCAAUUGUGGUUCGUAUUUCAUAAUUAGUUUGCGUUGUGUACGAGCGCGGUUGACAGUGAGUUGUGUGGCGAUCAGGUGCCGCCGCCGUUCAAGCCACAGGUGGAGUCGGAGACGGACACGCGCUACUUCGACUCGGAGUUCACGGGCGAGUCGGUGGAGCUGACGCCGCCCGAGCACGACGCCGGCCUGCAGCGCAUACAGGAGGAACAAUUCCCGCAGUUCUCCUACCAGGACAUCAGCUCGUCGGCGCACUCGGCGCUGUCUCACCUGUCGCAGUCCGCGCUCGCCGACCGCCACCAGUAGCCGCCGCCCGCGGCCCUCGGUAGCCACUAGUGACAGUCGCCCCUGGCCGCUCGACGCUCGGCUCAGUCGUCCCUGGCCAUCUGGCACUGGUGUCAACCCCCUUGGCCGUCCGACGCCGUUGUCAAGCCCCUAACUGUCCGACAUCGUUGUUAAUCACCCCUGGCUGUCUGAUAUCAGUAAUAAUCGCCCUCGACCGCCCGGCACUGGUGUCAAUCAUUCCUGGCCAUCCGGCAUCGAUGUCAGUCGCCCCUAGUCCGACACCGAUGUCAAUCGCCCGCUAGUCGUCCGACGCCAAUGUCAGUCGCUCCUGGCCGUCCGACAUCGAUGACAGUCACCCCCUAGUCGUUCUAUACGAAUGUCAGUUUCACCUGGCUGUCCAACACCAGUGUCAGUCAUCCUUAGUUGCCCGACAUCAAUGUCAGUCGCCCCGGGCCGUCCGACACUAGUCCGGCCACGGGCGACCAGGUCAGUCACCCCUGGUGAACUACCGCCAGUUUUGCCACAGUGCCAGUCAACCUUGGACGACUGGAUGUUACAAGCUUGUGGACAAAAUAAGAUUCUGUCAGUGAUAUCCCUAAUAAAAAAAUUGCAAAAUGUAUAAGUUUAACAUAAGCUUUAGAAUAUUCGAGUGUUCUCUGGACGUAAAUCUCAUGCAUUUUGUAGUUUUUUUUUUUUUUUUUUUUUUUUUUUUUUUUUUUAUUUUAUUAGUGAUACCACUAAUAAAAUAUUACUUGGGGUACAGGCUUAAAUCGCUCCCGGCCGACUGCCACUCGAGAAGGUUAUAAACAAAUAGGUAUCACAGUAUAAAUACAUAUUGCCAAUAAAUUUGAUCUUGAAAAUCAGUCGUCCUCUUUCUCACCAUCACCGUUGAGUGUAAGAGAGAUAGAGAAUAAUUCCAUGUUUAAUUGUGAGGUUGAGAAUGAUGAGUAAGCGGGACAGAAGACGCGAAACGUCAUUCGAGGUCAAAUGUAUUGGAUGUUCCACUAUUAUCCGAUUCCAUUUGGUUAUAAACUUCUGUUUAAAU
rnacentral:lncRNA from 1 species